GACGAACGCUGGCGGCGUGCUUAACACAUGCAAGUCGAACGGGCCCGCCCCUGUUUUUGGGGGUGGGUUGAGUGGCGAACGGGUGAGUAUCACGUGAGUAACCUGCCCCCUGCUCCUGGAUAACUGCUUGAAAGGGCGGCUAAUACGGGGUGUGCCGGCUGGUCCGCAUGGGCCUGGUCGGGAUAGUUUCAUCUUCGGGUGUUUCGGUGGGGGAUGGGCUCGCGGCCUAUCAGCUUGUUGGUGGGGUGAUGGCCCACCAAGGCGGUGACGGGUAGCCGGCCUGAGAGGGUGGGCGGCCACACUGGGACUGAGCCACGGCCCAGACUCCGGCGGGAGGCAGCAGUGGGGGGUAUUGCACAAUGGGCGGAAGCCUGAUGCAGCGACGUCGCGUGAGGGAUGGAGGCCUUCGGGUUGUGAACCUCUUUCUCCGGUGGUGAAGGCCCUGUCCGUUGCGGCGGGGUUGACGGUAGCCGGGUAUGAAGCGCCGGCUAACUACGUG
rnacentral:rRNA from 1 species